rnacentral:rRNA from 1 species
GACAGAGGGGGCAAGCGUUGCUCGGAAUCACUGGGCGUAAAGGGUGCGUAGGCGGGUCUUUUAAGUCAGGGGUGAAAUCCUGGAGCUCAACUCCAGAACUGCCUUUGAUACUGAGGAUCUUGAGUUCGGGAGAGGUGAGUGGAACUGCGAGUGUAGAGGUGAAAUUCGUAGAUAUUCGCAAGAACACCAGUGGCGAAGGCGGCUCACUGGCCCGAUACUGACGCUGAGGCACGAAAGCGUGGGGGAGCAAACAGG